UACGUAGGGGGCCAGCGUUGCUCGGAAUUAUUGGGCGUAAAGGGUGCGUAGGCGGUCUGACAAGUCUGAUGUGAAAUCUAUGGGCUCAACCCAUAGUCUGCAUCGGAAACUGUCGGGCUGGAGUAUGGGAGAGGUGAGUGGAAUUUACGGUGUAGCAGUGAAAUGCGUAGAGAUCGUAAGGAAGACCAGUGGCGAAGGCGAGUUUCUGGACAGUUACUGACGCUGAGGCACGAAGGCCAGGGGAGCAAACGGG
rnacentral:rRNA from 1 species